rnacentral:tRNA from 1 species
GGAGAUGUACUCAAGUUGGCUGAAGAGGCGCCCCUGCUAAGGGUGUAGGUCGGGCAACCGGCGCGGAAGUUCAAAUCUUCUCAUCUCCGCCA